UACUGGUGAAAUGAAUUUCGCCUGAGGAUGAGCUCGCGUCUGAUUAGCUAGUUGGUGAGGUAAUGGCUCACCAAGGCUUCGAUCAGUAGCUGGUCUGAGAGGAUGAUCAGCCACACUGGGACUGAGACACGGCCCAGACUCCUACGGGAGGCAGCAGUGGGGAAUUUUCCGCAAUGGGCGAAAGCCUGACGGAGCAACGCCGCGUGAGGGACGAAGGCCUCUGGGCUGUAAACCUCUUUUCUCAAGGAAGAAGAUAUG
rnacentral:rRNA from 1 species